GACGAACCGAGCGAACGUUGUUCGGAAUCACUGGGCUUAAAGGGCGCGUAGGCGGGUGCUCAAGUCCGGGGUGAAAUCCUCCAGCUCAACUGGAGAACUGCCUCGGAUACUGGGUGUCUCGAGGGUGGUAGGGGUAUGCGGAACUAUCGGUGGAGCGGUGAAAUGCGUUGAUAUCGAUAGGAACUCCGGUGGCGAAGGCGGCAUACUGGACCACAUCUGACGCUGAGGCGCGAAAGCCAGGGGAGCAAACGGGG
rnacentral:rRNA from 1 species